rnacentral:misc_RNA from 1 species
GGAAUGAUAUUGUGUAUGGAUUGAAUAAACAGAAUAGUGAAGGGUUGAGUGUUGA